AAAUCUGGGGUCGACGGCCCCCGAGUUGUAAUUUGUAGGGGCACCUUUGGGGGGGACAGCCGGGCGGAUGUUCCUUUGGAACAGGACGUCGCAGAGGGUGAGAAUCCCGUACCUGCUCAGGCUGCUCCCACCCUCCUUCGGUACCUUCGACGAGUCGAGUUGUUUGGGAAUGCAGCUCCAAGCGGGUGGUAAAUUUCACCUAAGGCUAAAUACCGGCGAGAGACCGAUAGCGCACAAGUAGAGUGAUCGAAAGAUGAAAAGCACUUUGAAAAUAGAGUCAAAAAGUACGUGAAAUUGUUGAAAGGGAAGCGCUUGGGACCAGCCUCGGGCUGGGGGUAAUCAUCGCGCCCUCAGGGGCCGUGCACUUGCCCCCGCCCGGGCCAGCAUCAGUUGACGUGGCGGGACAACCGCCCGGGAAAUGUGGCCCCGUGACCUGGGGUGUUAUUUAGGCCCGGGCUCAACGCCGUCAACGUCGACUGAGGAUCGCGCCUAGGCUCGAAUGCUGGCUUAAUGGUCUUCAGCGACCCGUCUUGAAACACGGA
rnacentral:rRNA from 1 species